rnacentral:snRNA from 1 species
GGAUAUGAGGGCAAUCUAGCUGAGAUGUCACCCCGUUGACCACCAGGAUUGAAUUGGCUGAUCUGGCUGGGUGUCCCCUUCCUCCCUCAUCACUCCAUGUGCAUCCCUCCCAAAGCUGCACACUAGGUCAAAGAGGACUACCUUUCCUGAAUAGAGGAGGACCAAUCUUUGGUCAAGGGUAAAUGAGCAUCUGUCCUCCUCUGCUAGAACCUCCAAACAAACUCUCAAAUACAUUGGCUGACCAUCAGAUAGGCAGGUUGCAGCAAAGCAGGGAAAUCUCCACCAUAGGUUUUAGAUGUUAUCAGAUGACAUUCUUA